CCAGGAGGACGACCUCCCCCGCGACGGGAAGCACGACCGGGACGGCCCGG
rnacentral:ncRNA from 1 species